rnacentral:piRNA from 1 species
UGGACUGGACUCACCUACAGGAAUAGCA